ACAACUUUCAGCAACGGAUCUCUUGGCUCUCGCAUCGAUGAAGAACGCAGCGAAAUGCGAUAAGUAAUGUGAAUUGCAGAAUUCAGUGAAUCAUCGAAUCUUUGAACGCACCUUGCGCCCCUUGGAUAUUCCUUGGGGCAUGCCUGUUUGAGUAUCAUGAACACCUCAACUCUCAUGGUUUUCUGUGAUGANUUUGGACUUUGGGGGUUUGCUGGCCCUGUGGCCGGCUCCUCUCAAAUGAAUUANCUUGCCAGUGUUUGGUGGCGUCACGGGUGUGAUAACUAUCUACGUUCGUGGCCGUCUGCCAGGUAACCCUCAGCAAUGAAGGUUCAUUGGGGCUCACAAAUGUCUCUUCUUGUGGGGACAACUUUUGAACGUUUGAUCUCAAAUCAGGUAGGACUACCCGCUGAACUUAAGCAUAUCAAUAAGCGGA
rnacentral:rRNA from 1 species